AGUGAACGCUGGCGGUAGGCCUAACACAUGCAAGUCGAACGGCAGCACAGUAAGAGCUUGCUCUUACGGGUGGGGAGUGGCGGACGGGUGAGGAAUACAUCGGAAUCUACUUUUUCGUGGGGGAUAACGUAGGGAAACUUACGCUAAUACCGCAUACGACCUACGGGUGAAAGCAGGGGAUCUUCGGACCUUGCGCGAUUGAAUGAGCCGAUGUCGGAUUAGCUAGUUGGCGGGGUAAAGGCCCACCAAGGCGACGAUCCGUAGCUGGUCUGAGAGGAUGAUCAGCCACACUGGAACUGAGACACGGCCCAGACUCCUACGGGAGGCAGCAGUGGGGAAUAUUGGACAAUGGGCGCAAGCCUGAUCCAGCCAUACCGCGUGGGUGAAGAAGGCCUUCGGGUUGUAAAGCCCUUUUGUUGGGAAAGAAAAGCAGCAGGUUAAUACCCCGCUGUUCUGACGGUACCCAAAGAAUAAGCACCGGCUAACUUCGUG
rnacentral:rRNA from 1 species